GACGAACGCUGGCGGCGUGCCUAAUACAUGCAAGUAGAACGCUGAAGGAGGAGCUUGCUUCUCUGGAUGAGUUGCGAACGGGUGAGUAACGCGUAGGUAACCUGCCUGGUAGCGGGGGAUAACUAUUGGAAACGAUAGCUAAUACCGCAUAAGAGUAGAUGUUGCAUGACAUUUGCUUAAAAGGUGCAAUUGCAUCACUACCAGAUGGACCUGCGUUGUAUUAGCUAGUUGGUGAGGUAACGGCUCACCAAGGCAACGAUACAUAGCCGACCUGAGAGGGUGAUCGGCCACACUGGGACUGAGACACGGCCCAGACUCCUACGGGAGGCAGCAGUAGGGAAUCUUCGGCAAUGGACGGAAGUCUGACCGAGCAACGCCGCGUGAGUGAAGAAGGUUUUCGGAUCGUAAAGCUCUGUUGUAAGAGAAGAACGAGUGUGAGAGUGGAAAGUUCACACUGUGACGGUAUCUUACCAGAAAGGGACGGCUAACUACGUG
rnacentral:rRNA from 1 species